rnacentral:rRNA from 1 species
CAGUAGCCGCGGUAAUACGAAGGGUGCAAGCGUUAAUCGGAAUUACUGGGCGUAAAGCGUGCGUAGGCGGUUUGUUAAGUCUGUUGUGAAAUCCCCGGGCUCAACCUGGGAAUGGCAAUGGAUACUGGCAAGCUAGAGUGUGUCAGAGGAUGGUGGAAUUCCCGGUGUAGCGGUGAAAUGCGUAGAGAUCUGGAGGAAUACCGGUGGCGAAGGCGGCCCCCUGGACAAAGACUGACGCUCAGGUGCGAAAGCGUGGGGAGCAAACAGGAUUAGAUACCCCGGUAGUCCCUGUCUCUUAUAA